GCCGCAUUCGUAUAAUGGUUAUUACUUCUGCUUCCCAAGCAGAAGAUGCCGGUUCGAUUCCGGCAUGUGGCUCCA
rnacentral:tRNA from 1 species